rnacentral:rRNA from 1 species
GAUGAACGCUGGCGGCGUGCCUAAUACAUGCAAGUCGAGCGAACAGAUGAGGAGCUUGCUCCUCUGACGUUAGCGGCGGACGGGUGAGUAACACGUGGAUAACCUACCUAUAAGACUGGGAUAACUUCGGGAAACCGGAGCUAAUACCGGAUAAUAUAUUGAACCGCAUGGUUCAAUAGUGAAAGACGGUUUUGCUGUCACUUAUAGAUGGAUCCGCGCCGCAUUAGCUAGUUGGUAAGGUAACGGCUUACCAAGGCAACGAUGCGUAGCCGACCUGAGAGGGUGAUCGGCCACACUGGAACUGAGACACGGUCCAGACUCCUACGGGAGGCAGCGAUAGGGAAUCUUCCGCAGUGGGCGAAAGCCUGACGGAGCAACGCCGCGUGAGUGAUGAAGGUCUUCGGAUCGUAAAACUCUGUUAUUAGGGAAGAACAAAUGUGUAAGUAACUAUGCACGUCUUGACGGUACCUAAUCAGAAAGCCACGGCUAACUACGUG